GGGUCAGUAGGUUGGUCGUGCCACCGGUACGUACUGGUCUCACUGCUUCCUCCUUCCUGAAGAACCGUAAUGCCAUUAAUUUGGUGUCGCGGGGAAACAGGACUGUUACUUUGAAAAAAUUAGAGUGUUUAAAGCAAGCUAACGCUUGAAUACAUUAGCAUGGAAUAAUGAAAUAGGACGAUCGAUCCUAUUUUGUUGGUUUCUAGGAUUGACGUA
rnacentral:rRNA from 1 species